GCAGAUAUCUGAAGCCUUGAGUGCCGUCCAAAGGCACCUCGAGUGCCGUGCAUGGCACUAGUGCCGUACGUUGCCUACCCCUGCUCUAGAUAAUCUCUGGCCAAUCGUACGUCCCUGUCUGCCCUAUCAACUUUCGAUGGUACUUUCUGCGCCUACCAUGGUGGCCACGGGUAACGGGGAAUCAGGGUUCGACUCCGGAGAGGGAGCCUGAGAAAUGGCUACCAUAUCCAAGGAAGGCAACAGGAGCGCAAAUUACCCACUCCCGACACGGGGAAGUAGUGAC